AACGCACAUUGCGCCCCCUGGCAUUCCGGGGGGCACACCUGUCCGAGCGCCGUUUCGACCCUCAAGCGUCGCUUGGCGUUGGGCGAGGUCCCGGGGGACCCGCCCGCAACCCGUAGGCGGUCGCCGCCCGUGCCCCCGGCGUAGCAGGCUCACGCACCCGCUCGGGGCCGAGCGCGACCCGCCGGCGAACCACCUCAAGGUUGGCCUCGGAUCAGGUGGGGAUACCCGCUGAACUUAA
rnacentral:misc_RNA from 1 species